rnacentral:rRNA from 1 species
UGGGGAAUAUUGGACAAUGGAGGCAACUCUGAUCCAGCAAUUCUGUGUGUGUGAAGAAGGUUUUAGGACUGUAAAACACUUUUAGUAGGGAAGAAAGAAAUGACGGUACCUACAGAAGAAGCGACGGCUAAAUACGUGCCAGCAGCCGCGGUAAUACGUAGGGGGCAAGCGUUAUCCGGAUUCAUUGGGCGUAAAGCGCGCGUAGGCGGUUUGUUAGGUCAGGAGUUAAAUCUGGGGGCUCAACCCCUAUCCGCUCCUGAUACCGGCAGGCUUGAGUCUGGUAGGGGAAGGCGGAAUUCCAAGUGUAGCGGUGAAAUGCGCAGCUAUUUGGAAGAACACCGGUGGCGAAGGCGGCCUUCUGGGCCACGACUGACGCUGAGGCGCGAAAGCUAGGGGAGCGAACAGG